GAUUUAACUGGGUUGGCAUAGCCAACAGAUAGACAAUCAUAAAACAAAACAUGGCAUGACAACUCAUUCAAAUAAUCAUGUUUUCACAUAAAACACGCUUUAAAAGAAGGAAGAGAAGGCCCACCUUAAUUGCUUAAAUUCUUGCAAAACGGUGCUUUCCUGUCCUGAGAUUACUCGUCGAGCGACGACUUUCCUUUACAAAAUUUAAUAUACUUAAAUUAGGCUUAAAAAAAAUAUAAUUGUUUAUCUUGCAUGUAUGCAUGCCUAAGCGUGUGCUUAUUAUUUUACUUCCUUCUUUCUAUAUUUAGAAGUCUUAAAUCUUUAAUUAAAUCAAUGAUUUCAUUAUUCGGAAACUAUUUUAACACGGCUAAAAAAAUUCUCUCUUCCUUUUUUUUUCUUCCGCGGCUUGAGAAUUAAAUCCCGUUAUACCUUGGAACUAAUUUUAGAGUAUUGCUCCAACUAAAACCAAGCCCAUCUAUGAAAACGUAUUUGAUUUAUUGGGCAAAAGUCGGCCCAGACCAUUUUACAUCCUCAGGCCAAUUUCCCUUCCCCUUCUGUAUUAUUUUUAAGUUGAGGCCCAAAAUUCAGUGGCCCAAAAGCAGUGAGACCACCCCUAGGAUCGGUCCCCCCCCUUCAUUUCCCAUUCUCACAAUUUCUUCCCCAAAUUAAGGGAACCAAAUCCCUAAUCGGACUCUGCUGUUCCGCUCAAUUAGCCGGAGGAUCGCCGACGGGGUCUCUCGGCUCUCUCUCUUUUCUGGCGAAAACGGCGGCGUCUCGCCCGUCGGGCUGAUGCACCGCCUCUGAACCUUCGUUGUGGUGUCGCGACGGUGCUCCUCCGUCUCGGUAGAUCCCCAAAUUGUAGGGGUGAAAACCCUAGGCUCAAACCCCCUAUCUGCCCCCUUCUUCUCGGCAACCCGCCGUCACAGGGUCGCCGGAAUCGGCCCGCUUCACCUCAUGGCAGCAUCUCGCUGCCCGCUCGGCGGUCUCUUGCCGUGGGGACAGAGGAGGCAUCGCCUCCUUCCACCGUCACAGCUCAACGCCGUCGCUGCCGGUCUUCCUCAGCGAGAGCCACCGCGUGUCACAACCACCUCGCGGUCAACUUCCGGCUCUGUCAUUAAACGACCUUGCGAAAGCUAAGUUCCCUUUCGUUUAUUCGUUUGGUUUCUUUAUGUGAUUUUAAAGUUGUAAGCUCAGUAGGAUAUCUUUGAUUAUUUGAGUCCGGUUGGAGGACUUCUACUAUAUCCUCGUUUCUCAGUUAUGGCAUAGCGUGCUCUCGUCAUGAUGCUAUCGAUUUUACUUGUUCUCCUAUAUCAUUUUCAUGCUUAUGUUUUCUGAAACUAUGGGAUUCUCCUAGCAUGCUUGUGAUGUCAGUUAAAUGCGAGAUUUCUACUACAUGAUGGUGUGAUUUGGUUAACUGAGUUUGGAGGGGAUUGAGGUUACCUUUCUUGAACCUCUCUGCGUCCGACUUCUAGCCUCUGUCUCUAUCACUGAUUUGCAAUGGUUUCUGCCUCUAACUCGUCCCAUCUCUCACUCCCUUAGCUCACUACCUUGUAUUAGAUUUGUGGUGGUCAAGGGGUAUGGCUGAGGUUGUCUGUAUUUAUAGAGAAUAUGCAACUGAAAGCUGUAAAAGCUUGUUGGCUGGAAAAAGGGACCCUAGGCUGUGCAGCUGGCUGCUCUCUCUACAGCUCUGCAGAGCAUGUACCCUGGUCCUUUGGCCCCUUUUCUAACUUAAUUUGGUGGUAUAUGGGGGUGUACUCGUGAGUUAUGGUGGCUGCCACAGAGCUCCAGUCUCUGGCUGUUCUUUAUGCUGCCAUUUUAACUGAUUUUUGGCUUUUGUGAACAUCUACUACUUAGCCUCAUUCAUGGCGUUUGUCUCUUGUGACAGGUGCACUAGAAUGGCUGAUAUUUGCUAUGGAUAUUCUCGACAAUGGCAGGCGAAACCGGUGGUACAAGCUGGCUUUUUUCAGCCUUUCAUAGUCCCUGCUGGGCUAGGUGUUGGCAGCAUCGCGCGGUUAGUCGUGGAGGUUGAUUCCCUCGUGGUCUCGCCCUUUUGGGCUUUCUGGAAUCGGGGCCGAGACGGCUCACGCUGAAGGCCGAGGAAGUUCUCUAGGACUCUUGAUUGUAAUAGAGUAGCCCGAUUUAAGUUUCUCUUUUUCUUUUCUCUAACAUGUAUGUAGAGUCUAUUGAAAUUAAAAGUGUUUCUGCUUCCUUUGUCAUUUGUAAGCUUAGACUUUAGCUCGGAAUAAUAAAAUGUUGUGUUGCUCAAGAAAUAAAUAAAUAUUCUUUCUUUCUCUUUA